rnacentral:rRNA from 1 species
GGUGNUGCAUGGGUGUCUUCNGCUCGUGUCGUGAGAUGUUGGGUUAAGUCCCGCAACGAGCGCAACCCCUGUUCUUAGUAGCCAGCGGUUCGGCCGGGCACUCUAGGGAGACUGCCAGGGAUAACCUGGAGGAAGGCGGGGAUGACGUCAAAUCAUCAUGCCCCUUAUGACUUGGGCUACACACGUGCUACAAUGGCGUAAACAAAGGGAAGCGGAGCCGCGAGGCCGAGCAAAUCUCAAAAAUAACGUCUCAGUUCGGACUGUAGUCUGCAACCCGACUACACGAAGCUGGAAUCGCUAGUAAUCGCAGAUCAGAAUGCUGCGGUGAAUACGUUCCCGGGUCUUGUACACACCG